rnacentral:lncRNA from 1 species
GGGUAAGGUCAGAACCACUUGACCCUCCAGGCUGAGCAUUAGGUGCUGGGAUUUUUGCAGAGCUGAGACGCUGCUUCUAAACGCAGUGUUAGUGGGGGCUGGCCCAGUAGAACAGCAGAUGGAGAAAGGAGAAGCAGACAAUGGAGCACAGAGAUGGCAAAGUGCAUGUUUACAUGGCCUUUAAAGACAUCUUUGUUCUGCCAAAUCUCACGAGCUAGAGCUCUGGUUACACAAUAACAGCAUGAAGGAGUAUGUCCAGUACCCAGGGAUGCUUGUUGAUCUCCUUCAACCAGUGUUACCUGUAAACACACAAGUACCGAGGCCCUGGCUGGACAAAGCAUGGCGACCAAGAGCUCAGACUACUCAGAAAUAAAGGAUAAUCACACCGCCAGGAACCUGCAGUGUCAUACAGUUUCAAGAAGAUAAAUAUUAGUCAAGAUGGCCCAUGGUAUUAAGAGAGAAGUGAAGUCAAGUGGAUUAAACAUUUUAGAAACAGCCUUACUUUGAGGAAUUAAGAUAGAGUCUGGUUGCCAGUGAAAAUGAUAGUGGAAGGAAAACGUCAACUGCUGGUUAGCCUGGUUAUGCUGUGCUCUGAAAUGUCUUUUGUUAACGUGAUCUCUCUAUUGAGAACUCCAUUACCCUGUGUUUAAAACAAAGGCGCCCCAUUCAAAGCAGGCUAUAAUUGUAGUCUUUCAGCAAAACAGCAUUUACGAAAACAUGCCUUUCAGAACUUGGUACAAUUUAUCACCCCCAUGGUGCAUGACACACAAUUACAUUUGUCACUGCUUUUAUUGGAUAUUACAUGUCAGUAAUGAGUCAUCAGCUCCAGAAGUUAUGAAAGAUGAAUUUUUUACUACUAGAUUUCCGAGUUUGCUCCAAAAAUAAAACUAAAACUCGUGUAUGCCUCAGUAAGGGUAGAAGCUACAUUCGGGAGAAACAUUAAUCCCUGUUUUAGAAAAAUAACGAUGUAUUCCAUUUAUUGACAGCAAGAUGAUUGCCUACAGUGUUUCUCGUUACCUCUAGAUCACAAAUGAGUAAAUCACUAUCAGAUAAACCAAGGUUAAAACUGAGUGUGUUUUAACAUUGUAACAAGGUGCAGCAAUAAAUAAAUAAAUAAAAUCAACAACAACAACAACAAAAACUCUAUCACCAAGAGAGGACUGUUAAUUCAGAGAUUUUUUUUUCCCCUUAGAUUCUGUGAUGUGAUAAGCACGGCAGCUCAGUCAUCGCUGAAAUUAAAUUAGGUUUUAGAAAAUGAAUAUUUCAUUUUUAAGAUCCUGUUGCUUGGAGACCCGGGAAGAAAAGGCUAGUUUAGCCCAAGAUGGGAGUGAUGUUAUGAGGGCCAGCAUUUUCUGCUCCUGGAAACGGCUGGAGAACGCUGAGGAAAAAUUACAUAAGGGAGGCAAAACAAUGAUGAUCGUACAAAUGGGCUCAUUAUAAAUAUGCCACAAUGCAUGUCAUUUCUUCCAAGCUAAAGAAGUCUCUCUCUACCCUUCACCUUUAGUAAUAAGAUUGAAAUUGGGCACAGUAUCAUGAUGCCAUAAACACAAUCUACCUUUUGUUUUAACAGACACAUUUUUUAAAAAGACAAAACAAAUGUAGACUCAGUGGCAAAACAAAACAUGCUUUUCUUUGCAAGGAGGCUCAACAAGUAAUAGAGAUACAGAAACUCAUAUCUAUUAUGUUGGACAAAGCUGCACUCACCUGGCUGCAUUUUAAUCAGCCUCAUAAAAAUUGAAUAUGCUUUGCUUUCAUUGCCAUUGAAGCUAGAGCAGUUUUAAGAGAGCUUCCAUUUGGGGGACAUGGUAGAAUGCUAACUGUUUCCUGAAAGGAAAGCUCAGAAUCUCUUGAGCUUUACCUGGGUACAUGGAUACCCAUGUAAAGAUUACUUUUCCCAGCCUCCCUGGUAGGUAGGUGUGACCAUGUGAAUAUGUUUUGAUCCGUGAGAUGCAGGCAGAAGCCAUGUAUGCAAAUUGCAG